GCUUGUCUCAAAGAUUAAGCCAUGCAUGUCUAAGUAUAGUACCUUAUACUGCGAAACUGCGAAUGGCUCAUUAAAUCAGUUAUAAUUCAUUUGAUGGUACUUACUACUCGGAUAACCGUAGUAAUUCUAGAGCUAAUACGUGCGUAAAUCCCGACUUCUGGAAGGGACGUAUUUAUUAGAUAAAAGGCCAGCCGGGUUUCGGCCCGUUCUUUGGCGACUCAUGAUAACUUCACGAAUCGCAUGGCCUUGUGCCGGCGAUGUUUCAAUCAAAUAUCUGCCCUAUCAACUUUCGAUGUUUGGGUAUUGGCCAAACAUGGUUGCAACGGGUAACGGAGGGUUAGGGCUCGACCCCGGAGAAGGAGCCUGAGAAACGGCUACUACAUCCAAGGAAGGCAGCAGG
rnacentral:rRNA from 1 species